rnacentral:lncRNA from 1 species
GGUACGGGUGUUUGUGUUGGAAAAUCAAACUGCGCCACGGGGUGGAGCGGCCCCCCCAGUCCCUAUCUGGGAGAGGGGGGGCCCGCUCGACCCCCAGGAGGUCUUGCGGAUCUUGAAUAUCUGGGACCCCCAGAACCAGGUUCCCCCAGGCACCAUGCCAGCCCCAUAGCACUACCCACUCCACGACUUCUGCUGCACCCCACUGCUGGGGUGAUUGUUCCAAUGUGACUGAACACUUCAAACUCCAUCUGGUGAGAAGCGAGCCGGUAACUUCAUAGCUUCCGCCACGCCGAAAGAAGACAGCAAAAGAAUGGGAACCCCGGGGGUCGGUCCUGGAUCGGCCCCACCUUCCAGCCGGUGCGUGCCGGCUAAAAGCAUGCUCAGGAAAAACCGGUCUGCGGGGUCUGGUGUCUUUGGCCGUCCAGUGUCUGCUUGCGGAUCGCAGGCCUCGUGCCAAGCGUCCCUCCUAUACCCCGCGUCCCGGGAGCUGCGCGGAGGGGCUCUCCUGCCCCAAGCCCAGAGAGAGUUAAGUGGGUGUGAUUGAUGGAGUGCUUCUCUCCUGGGACUUAAGGGGGAGGGGGUCGGUUAAAGUCCUAGGGUCCAGAUCCCGGAUGCAGGAGGCGGAGCUUGGCUUUGCCGGGAGUGCCCGGAUGGAGAGGGCGUGGUUUAGACCCAAGUGGAAUUAACCCUUUCUGGGCGGCCGGCUUUUGGGGCUGUAGGUCGGGUUGGGGAGGCUGGAUUGUCAGCCUCUGAAGUGUGUCGGCCUCCCAGGCUGGCCGUGGACGUGUGCGUCUACCUUCCGUCUGUCUUCGAGGAGUCUAUGGGUGUCUGUCUUUGUGCUUGUCCCUGGUUGCCCCCUCCCCUUGGUUAGUACGAGCGCUGGGAGUCGGGGAGGGCCAUUCCUGCCUCAAAGCGAGAGUGUAGGUGAGAGUGGACGGCGAGCCAGCCGGCGGCCGCGGUGGCGACUGAGGAACAGG